GGUAUAUAUGAUGCCCCCCAACGGGGGCCUCACAGAGAUUAGAGCCUCUCGACCAUCGGAUUUUUCCAGCAAGCCCCGCAUCGAUCUGGCCCGUUCAUCUCUUGAACAAAAACACCAACGAAAACCUAGCCUCCAGCCCCAAUCCGUUGGCCUCUUCCGCCCCCAAUCCGCUAACCUCCUCCCCCCAAUCGGCUCGCGUCGAUCCCAGUUGUGCCUCGUCCCAUCGCCGCCGUCAUGGUGGUCUUCUCCGUCGAGAUAGUAGGCGAGGAGGCAGAGGAGGAAGCUCUCCAUGGUGCCGCCAUUCGCGCCGCCGACCGGUAGGAGCAGGCGCCCUCGAUGUAUGUCGUGCCGCCUGCGCCUCCUCCACGCCACCGCAUCCGUUCUACUCCGCAUCGCAGCUGCUGGUUCGGGAGGAGUGGCCGGUGCCCGACGGGAGCAGCGCAGCCAAGGAUCCCAUGGCCUCCGUGCGUUCUGCGUCCCAGACCAGCAGCCGGUGGUGGUGUUCCUCGUCAUACAAAGAUGUGGAUAGCAAGAGGUAUACACCUAUUUCUCUAUACUAGAUCAUCUCUGAUUUUGUUUCUCCAAAUGAACCAUGCGUUUUAUUUACUAUUCAGUACAGUUCUAGGUGUUCAUCUCGAAAUUGUUGGUCAUUUGAUAGAUGUGCAGGUGUGGUGCAUGUGAUGGUCGGAAAGACCUAUAGCCACAGACAUGCAUGUGAGUGCUCUCCAGAAUAUGUAGCGUCUAUCAUAAAUUUGUCAGUAUGUGUCAUGCCUGGCUAUGUUAUUGGAUAAAUGAAGGCUCCCUCUGUUUUUUGGGCGAAGUUUUGAAGGAUUUGUCUAAAACUGUUGCUCUACUGUCGUUGUUUGUUACCUGCAUCUAUUCGCUUUGCUAAAGAUUUAUGCUUGGUGUAGCUUUUGGCUCCUUCAUUUCUUUGUCUAAUAUUGUGUUCAAAGUGGCUUCAUAUAUUUCUUGAGAGUGGUCAUCCUGAAGUUGAUCUACAUUUCCCACAAGAAGUAGCUCUGUUAUAUACAAAUAAAUUUCCUGUGAGUUGAUAGAAAAUCUUUAUAUCUCAUUGAGUUUUGUAAAAGCUCAUAGUGAAAUCUUGAAUUCUGCAUUGUUUAAAUAUAUCAGCUUGAGUUCAUAAAGGUUGAGCCAUAGAUAGAGAAAUUAAUCCAACUAUUGUUGAUGCCUCAGUUUCAGGUUUCUAAGAGUAUAGCCGUAGAUUAUGAGAGAUGGUUUCCUAAUAGCUUCUAUUUGAUUUACUUAAGGCCUGAACCACAUAUAAAGUUCAGAGAAAAUUUAAAGAUCAUUUGGAAUGACCGAAAAUGUUUAAAGUUCAUUGAUACAUUUAUUUUCUCUUCAUAGUCCAUUAAUAAGCUAACGGCCUUCGCUUUAUCUCGCUCCUGUUGCAGAAAUUAAUCGAGUAUGAAGCAAAUACGAUGAUAUUUUUAUGUAGAGACCCCUGAUGUCUUCUUUCAUGUCCCAGACACUCCCAAGGAUAUUCAGGGUUCCUUAUAUAGAAUGUUAUUCAAUCUUAUGCUAAAAGCAUGGUCUUUCAAAGGCUGAGUACCAUCUUGAAUUAUAAGAAGAUAGCAAAGUUUGUGUGAAUUGCUCUUUAAUGCAUCUACAUGGUUCCUGUGAACAUGUCGAUGUCUGGAGCCCAGUCCAAUGAUUAUGAAAUAGCAAAGAAAUAUGCUGACAAGCUCAAGGGCACAACAUUAUCUGAGGGUAGUUCAAAGAAGAAACAAUCUGGUGGUUUGCAAUCAAAGACAACAGAUGAACUCCCAGUUUCAAAGCUUUAUAUUUGGGUAGGGCUUAUCAGAAAGGAGAGAAGCAUCUAUAUGUUGAUUCACUUUAUGUACAAGAGAUCGAUGUUGGAGAAGUGGCACCAAGAACAGUGGUUAGCGCACUUAUCAAAUACAUCCCUCUUUAAGAAAUGCAGAACCCGAAAGUGGGUGUGCUCUGCAAAUCUUAAACCGGCGGCAAUGUGCGGUGUAAUAUCACAUGCUAUGGUUUUGGCUGCGUCCAAUGAGGACAAUAAAAGGUUGAAAUGCCUGGGUCUCCAAAAUCUGCAGUCGUGGGGAGGUGACCUUUGCUGGGGCACUCGGGAAGAGCGUCGGAAGAUGAUGAGGAAGCAAUCCUAGACUAAAAACCAUGCUGCACUAGGCAGGUGAUUGCCAUGUUACAAACACAAUCUACGUGUUUUGUUUAUUCGAAGCACACUUGAUAUACAGCCUGUGAUGUGUUCUUUUGCUCCUCUUCAUCAGCUGAGGAAGGAGUAUUCCACGGCCAUCCAUUGGCAGUGGGAGGCAGCGCAAAGCGAGUUGGAGGGAACACCAAAGGAGGCAUGCAAGAGGGCGACCAUCACAGGAGCACAUCAUAGCUCAGGCCAUCAUCACAAGAACUGGAGUUCGAAACCCUGAAGCAAACUAGUAUCAAAUUAUCUGCCUAUUACCUUCUUCUGAUGAGGGGUUGUCGAUGAAGUGGGAUUGCUCUAUGUUAAGUCCACUAGCUGAGCGGUGAGGGCAACUAACGGUCGUGAGACAAGGAACGGAGUCGUUAAGGUAGCACCAACUCUUGGUGUCGCGGCCGCCGGUGAUAGUGAUUUAGGACACAACAUCGGCAACCUGGUGGCUGAUGUGCAGAUGCGAUGAAUUCACAUGGAGUGCGCCGUCAGCAACUGCCUUGCCUCCUCCGCCUCCUCUCCUAUCGCCGCUGGAGAUGCCACGCAGCAGUGCAGAGCAUGUUGGUGCAGCUAGAUGGAAACUAUCGAGAUCUCGGCCAUCUGUUUAGGCGCACCCCUAAAUCGUUGAGUUUAUAAGCUAUUAUGGGCUGUUAUCUGGAUGUUUAUCUUUAGAAGCUUAUAAGCUAUUACGGGAUAUCAACAUUUCCCCUGUAUUAAUGGUAAGACAAAUUUAAAAGAUUUCUUAUAAUCUAUAAAUAUCACUUGGUAGGAAGUGAGAAGCUUAUCACUUGGUAUGAACCAAAGAUUAAGGUGAAAGCGAGGAAAACAAAAGCCACUUCUGUGUAAUCAAAAUGAAUAGAAGUUCUAUUGC